AAGUUUCAGACCUCCCCUAAGUGACGAGCCUCUUUCCCAGAAGGAUGGGACCGAGCCGCCCCCUCCCCGCGGCCCCGGGCGGAGGCGGCGGCGCCGUGAGGGGAGGGGAGGGGAGGGGGGGGAGCGGCGCCCCGUGCGGCGCCGCGACCUCGGCCGCUCUCGGCCGAAGCGGCCACCGCGCGCCCCCGCUGCGGGGAGGCGUCGCCGCCGCCGCUCUCCCCUCGGCCGGGAGGAGCUACGGCUCGCAGGCGAAGGAAGAGGAGGAGCUGCGCGUCCGGUACCUGGAUGAUGAGCACAAAGGAAUUGUGGUGCUUGGAUUAAACAGAUCUCAUGCCAAGAAUGCACUUAGCAAAAACCUUGUAAAAAUGAUGUCAAAAGCUGUGGAUGCUUUGAAAUCUGAUAAGAAAGUACGAACUGUUGUAUUCCGGAGUGAAGUCCCGGGGAUAUUCUGUGCUGGUGCUGACCUUAAGGAAAGGGCAAAAAUGCACUCAAGUGAAGUUAGUUCUUUUGUCUCCAGAGCAAGAGCAACUAUUAAUGAAUUGGCUAAUCUGCCUGUACCUACUAUUGCUGCAAUAGAUGGAACUGCCUUAGGUGGUGGCCUAGAACUUGCAUUAGCCUGUGAUAUACGGGUGGCAGCAUCUUCUGCUAAAAUGGGCCUGGUUGAAACAAAGUUGGCGAUCAUUCCAGGUGCAGGGGGGACACAAAGAUUACCUCGCACAAUUGGAGUGUCAUUGGCAAAAGAACUAAUCUUCUCUGCACGCGUUGUAGAUGGUGAGGAAGCAAAAUCAAUAGGAUUGAUCAGCCAUGUGGUAGAACAGAAUGAAGCAGGGGAUGCUGCAUACAGAAGAGCAUUAGCUCUGGCGAGAGAAUUCUUACCUCAGGGACCAGUAGCAAUGAGAGUUGCAAAACUGGCUAUCAAUCAGGGAAUGGAGGUCGACUUAGUAACAGGUUUAGCAAUUGAAGAAGCUUGUUAUGCUCAGACUAUCCCAACAAAAGAUAGAAUUGAAGGCCUUCUUGCAUUUAAGGAGAAGAGACCUCCUCGCUACAAGGGAGAAUAAAAGAAUCUGAUGCCUUUAAAAUACAGGGGGAUACAAGCACUUCUAUGAGGACCAUUAAGGUGCACUUUGCAUCCGCACCUGGAAUAUCACAAUCACCAAAGUAACAGCAAAUCAUACAGAUGUUACAACAUUUUGAAUGUGUCCAUACUUGUACGAAGCCAAAAUAGAAAUGUGUGUCAGCUCAUGCUCAUUACAGUUUCUGAUGGUUGAUCAGUGUAAUGGCAAAGUCACAGGUUCAGCAUUUUUAAAAUUUCAAAUGUAUGAAACAUACCAUUCCACAAUUGAAAAAGCUCUGUAAUACUUUACAUGGACAAAAUGUAUCUGUGAUGUUAAGCAUAAAUCUGCUAUAUCAUUUUAUCAAAACAAAAGCAACUACUGAACACCAAAAAAAAGAAAUUGUACCAAAUAUGCAUUUAGAUUAUUCUGUAUAUCAGUAAAAAAUAUAUUUGUGUAUUCUAUUGGAAUAUCUAUAUUAUUCAUAAAGCUAGGGGAAACGAAAAGAAUUAUAAUUUAGAAAAUGUUAAGAUUUGUUUAUCUUACUCUAUCCUAAGCAAAAUGAAAUUGACUUUAGCACUUAAUGGUGUCCUUUUGAUAAAGUUCUUGCCAUUAUAUUCAUUUAAUUGUAUUAAAUGAAGAUAUUUUUGAGGCCAGCCUUUAAUUAUGCAUUAUUGUAUGUUAACCUGUCUUUGUCUUGCAUUUUUCCAACAUAUCAUGUGAUCAGCACUGUAAUGGAACUUUAUUUAAUUUGCCCCAGUUAUUUUAAAUUUUUGAUGAUUGUAUUAAAGAUGGUUGUGUGGGGAUAUGACCAAUGUGCUGUAAUAGAACCUAGAAUUAUCUUAAUCUCCAGAAUAUUUCUUUUGCAAAUUUUUGAAUGUAUAUUUAUGUACAACAGGAAUGAUGGUGAAAGGUUGUUUAUUUUGUGUUGGCCUCAGAGUUCUUUUCAUGCAUUGCAAGAGAAAUGCAGUAGGUUUCAAGAAAGAGAAUUAUCUCCAAAAUUGAGAAGAAGAAAAAUGGCAAGCAGAUAAACCAAAGGAAGAGUUGUUUUCAGCUAAAGAGAACCAUGGAGAAUAUCCUAUCAGAAUUGAGGAGAAGAGGAUUGUUUUCCAUAUUCUUUGAGAUUAUUUCUGGCGCUAAUAUAGCCUGGGAUGCAGAAGCCACCCCAUGCCAAGCUCCUGCAGGGUUUAUCAGGUUACAUCAACAACAUAUUGGGAAGCAGGUAUUCAGCAUUACCAGCCUUACUCUGGAUCACAGGAAUGGACUUGAAAUAAUGCAUAUGGAAAAUCCUUUUAGAGCACAAGGAGUGGUGUACAGCUUCUGCUCUAGCCAUCCAGGAAUUUUCAAAUGCAGAUUUGGUGAUCCUCAAGAAUGCAGAUCCUCUCUGGGAUUUUAGGAAUGUUGAGACGUGCUGGUUAUAAAGCCCUAAGUACAAAAUGGUCACGGAUGGCUGGAAUGAGGCAUGUUCUAAUGGAAACAAAUCACUUGUCAGUAAGCAGCCUUCAAACUUUUGAACAAAAGCUCAAAAGGGUCAGGGAAAAGACAUUGUUUGUUGAUUUAAAAUGGCUGGAUGCAGGUCAUCAGGAAGGCAAAGGCUUCAAUAUUCUUGAGAUUUCCAGGGAGUGGAGCAGAUCACUUUGCUGGGGGACCAUGCACCAUCCUCUGCUGUGCCGUUCCACUGGCAGAGAGGCUGGGAGAACUGCCUUAGAGCAACGCUCAGUGACCUACUUUGUUCCUAGAAAGAAGAACACCUCACCAAGAUGGAUACAAGAGUUUUUUGAAGGAUCCUGCAGCAGUCUGUGGACUGAGAUUAUGCACACCAUAAGCAUAGGGCAAGGAGAGAGGAAAUGCAAGAUGCUGUUGAGUCCUGGCCUAAGAGAGGAAGAAUACAUAGCAAUAUUAAAUUUAGUUUGUCUCUGUGUGUAAUGCUCUUUGUUGUGCUAGAUAACUUCAAGAAUUACAAACUGCCCUUAUGAAUAAACAAAUCAGAGGAUUGCUGCAGGCACACUGAGAGCACAAUAUGUGUAUGAGAUGUUAUAUAGUAAAUAAUGGGAUGUUGUCUUCAUGAUAUUGCGGCCACAUGCUUUGCAUGGAGCACUUAAACAUUUACUGUAAGUAAAUCCAUUAGGAAAGACAAUCAUUCUCUCUUACUGACUUUCUCCAAACCAGUGCAUUGAAAAUAGGCUGUUUCCUGCUCCAGACAUUCCUUUAGAGAUGACAGGAACUCCCCGACCACAGCCUUGGUGCAGGAACAAUUUGUGUUAGUGCUUUCUUUUUGCAAAGAAUUUUGUACUUUGGACUUUGUUGAUAUACUUCUGCUGCCAUCUUAACACAGAUCCCAAUGUGAUCUUGAAUUUAGGGAAUGGAAAAUCCUGAUAAACAUCCGGGCUGCUGUGAAUGCAAAGGACAAAGCCUUUGUAGUAAAAUGUCUCUGACAUACACCCAUGAAAAGUGUUUGAUGUGCUGUAAAAGACAUCUGUCUGAGAAAAAAAUUGUUUUUCCUCUUUGGCUUUGUUAAGCAGACUGUAGAAGUAAAUGACACAAAGUAACCCUUCUUUUCCUCUCCUACUGCCCCUCUCUUUGUUUGAUCUUGCAGUGAUGUGAUAAUGGCGAGUCUGUAACUUGAAAGUAAUUUCUGUAAAGACUUAUACCGUGAACAGAGGGGUUUUAUUUUCUGCUGCUAAAGGGAGAUCAAAGUAUGAUCUAGAGAUUAGACCUGUUUUGAGAGAGAAAACUGAGUGGCCUAUUUCUACCUCUGUCACUGAAUUGCUGCAUCAAACUGAGCAAGUCACUUAACUUCUCUGUGCCCUGGACCUUUGCUGUGUGUACUGAAGCAUUCAGCUCUCUCACUAAUAACAAACAUUUUAUAUGGCUUAAUCAUAAAUGAUUGCCUGUGUGCUAAUUAGCCACAGUCAGUGCAAAGUUUAUUAUACUUGUUUUCAACCUUUACACCAAUUCAGGGAACGUGAUGGCUGGUUUUCAUUUCAUUUUGGUCACAGCUUGCAGGAAGGAAAGGAAGAAAGCUCUGAGAUCCACAGAGGACCUGUGGAGGCAAUGACACAGACUGCAGGCUAAUGGGAAUUUCUGGGCUCAGGGCUGUACUUUACAAAGGAUGCUGGCAUCAGAGAAGCAUUAUUACAGUGUUUUAUAUUGGUCUGGAUGAGUUUAAACAACCAGCUGAGCUACUAGCAGCAAUGUACACAGUGGAGGCCAGCUUUCCAAAUAAGUCCUGUGUCUCACACUGACUGUACUUGACUUUUGGUCACCAGGUUUUUUCUGUUGCUCAACCCAGUUCAAAUAACACUAGCUGAGGUAUGCUGACCUCCUCUUACAGCUGUAGUUUGGAGGUAGUGCUUGCUCGUGAGCUCAGACCAGCAAAUGAAUAAGCCAGGUCUGCAGUCUGACAGUGUGCUUGCAUCUGCACCAAUGCACAAUCUGCUGAAAAGCACUCAACUGCCCAGGCCCUUCAAAUACCAGGGUAAAGCUGUGUCAACAGUUGUCUCCCUGACAACCUUCUGAGCACUCUUCUAUAUGGAAGAAAUCAGUCAAAAUCAGUCAAAAAGUGAAAUCCCUCUGCUUUAGGCAGGGCUGCAGUUUUACCUUUUUCAAAAAGAGAAAGAAAUCAGGAGUGUCCCACUCUGUGGCAAUACUGGAAAUGUAAUCUGUAAGUACAUGCAAAGGCAGUGUGAUUAAAUCAGAGGUACAGGAGCAAUACACAAAAGUGUAUCUGUGCACAAAAGCAGACUCACAUCAGUUCUGCAUUUUGUGCACAGGCAGCCUAAGAGAAGAGACUCCAUGAUUCAAAAUGUCUGCAGUCUGUGUCCCUGGAGAAUCAGUAGGAGUUGAAGAAAACUUCCAAAUGUUUUCUGUGUAUGCAAUAGAAACAAGAAAGCUGCCUUUUCCCAAGGUAUCAACAGAGAAACUGAGGAAUAAAGGGAUUAACAAGUUCUGUGCAUGGUGACACGUGUUUGGGUUUGUUUGUUUGGUUUUUGUUUUUUCUUUUUAAUUUUCUUUUGAUGCAUUUGAGAAAGAAACAAAUUCCCUGAAUUUCCCAGUAUGACACAGCAAAGCAAACCCCAUGAAUCUCUGCAGCAGUUGCAACAGAAUCUUCAUGCCCUCUGUCCUUUGUCCUUCUAAGGGGAAAUGUUGGGUGGCACACAACAUUUAAAAGUUAAUGAUAGGCUAGCCAGUAAAAGUGAAGACUUGCAGCUUUGGGUUGCAGCAGAGAAACAGGAGGGCAGCCUGUUCAUACCAAAUGUCUGAGAGUACCUUAUUCACGGGAAGCACUGGCAGACUAUAAAGUACUCUGUUAAUUAUUGUUGACAUUGCAUAGAGAGCUUCAUGCUGUUCUUUCUCUGCCUGCUUUGACUUAAUUUGUUUGAGAAAGUACUUUUUCUGUGCUGCAGAUUAUGUAAAUUCAUAUACUCUACUGCACUGACAGAUGUGUCUUUGUUUUAGAAGAAGCCAUUAUUUUUUUCAGUGCUGAAUGUGAAUGGAGCAUUUCACACUGGUGGCUUCCAAAAAUAUUUAUAAAGUGAAGCUGAGCAGCUCAAAAUAUUUUGCCCUCCUACACUGACAUUCACAAGCCUUUAUAGCAGCAUUAUCAAAAGCAUUUGCAGUGGAACGUGCAUGAGUUGGCCACAAAGAUUGGGUUAGUCAACAAAUGACUGAAGGCACACAUUUUAGUCAUCUCUACCCCACACAGUGUACAGCAGAAUCCAGUUGCAACUGUAACAGGGCAAUUAUUGUAUAUUGUGGGUCAAAGGCUAUCUUAUAAUGAUCCCUUUCUCUCAUAACUCCUGCACAUCUGAGGAAACAGGAUGAAGAAGUAGAAAGUGAGUAAAAUUCUCCUUUCUUCCUGUUUCAGCUGGUAAAAUGUGGUUUGACUGUGCACUGAAUACCACAGGCAGUGCUCGUUCUGAGGGCUGAUAGCUGCUCAUGGGGUGGCAUUGUCUGCCUUCCAUGUUUACGUUCCACUUCCACUGACCACUGCCUAGGUGUUCUCCAGCUCACUCUCCCACUCUUUGAUUCUUCCUGAACAUGCUGCUAAGAAACAAAGCAAGCUGCAGCCACUUGGGCAGAGAAAAAGGCUCCCUCUGAGUACAUAAAUGCAUCAGACUUCCUCUUAGAUUUCACUAUGAAUUAAAAUGACCUCUCUGCCAAUUGAUUGUAAUGACUUCCAUAGUCUGCACCACUGUAUUGAAACCAGGGCUUCCCACACAUUUCUUCCCACUAGGAGUUAUCCAAGAGAGCUACACUAGCAACCUGUGCCCUCCAGCUGCAGGUAGAAGAGCUGUCUGGCUAACUUCGUGAGUAUGGACAUGAUAACGACACACAAUGAUUUCAACAAUAAGACUGAGUGUACUCCAUGUCCAUUCUCAGCUUUGUACAUUUCCAUCUUCAAAGUUUUAAAAUAUGUAAUGAAUAGCAGUGAUUCCAAGGAAUCCAACCUUUAAACCACUAAAUAAUGUUAGCUCCAUUGGCUUUCUGUCUCCAGGAGUGGGGGCUAUGCACCAUGCUUAAACACUCUGAUUACCCUCAGCAGGCAAAUGGAUAGAAAAGACAUUUUAAACAGGGGAAGUCUCCCCACCUGAAUUGAUACAGUGAGGAGCUCAGCAGCAGGAGAGGGAAUAUGUGUCAUACACUAUCCUGUCUUCCUAAACACAAGUUUGUGUUGAUGAAAAAAUAGUGAAAAGUUUUACCCCGCAAUGAACAGGGACGCCAACUAAUCCCCCCUUCCUCGUUAUUUAGGAGAUGUCUCUCUAGUAUACCUAAUGCACACUGCAUAGGAUGUCAUUUCACUUCAAUGAGCAUAGAAGUUUCUUUCCUCGUAAUCCUUGCAUUGUUUGGACACAAUCUUUUUUCAAACGUUUCCACUUUUGCUUUGCUAGAUGUUAAUUUUUUAAUUCCUGAUGAGUGUGACCCUUUUGUUGUCUAUAUGCGCAUUAAUUCUGUGAUAUUUAAGCAUGGCUAAAUGAAAAGUGUCUCAGCUGAAGAUAAUUUUCAUUGGUUUGGCUUUUUGGUUUUUUGGGGGUUUUUUGGGUUUUUUUUUGGUAAUAAGACAGUUGUUUUGAGUUUCUUGCUGCACUUUGGAGGCGUGUGCAUUAAAGUUACUUCUAAAGCCUUGAAACAGGAAAGAAUAGCUCACUUUAAAGCAUGUAUUGCCAUGUAUUUGCUACCCUCUUGCUUAUGCCUUGUAGCAGGUGAAAAAGCAGUAAUGGGUGACUAAGAAUGCAAUAAAGGAAAGAAGCCUGGGGAACAGUAACAGCAAACACAUGUGGUCUUUUGUAUUCUUUUGUAUCCUGUGAAGUAUUAAUUUCCUUUAGUGAAUUUGCAGCUUAAUUAAAAAAAACCCCAAACAAAAUCAAAGCAACAAACAGGCUGAAAUUUUCCCUUUUGCUCAGCAAAAAGUAAGAGAAUACUAAUAAUUUUGAUUAAAAUAUUACUGAAGAAGCUA